rnacentral:rRNA from 1 species
GACGAACGCUGGCGGCGUGCUUAACACAUGCAAGUCGAACGGACAGGCCCCUUUGUUGCUCCUCUAGUGUCGAACGCGUGCGUAACACUUACGUAACCUUCCCUUGACUUCGGGAUUACUUCAAGUAACUGGGGCUAAUGCUGGUUAGGAAUCCUUUCUUCAUGCUGGUGGUUGGAAAGCUUCGGCGGUUUUGGCUGUACUCGCGGCUUAUCAGCUUGUUGGUUGGGUAGUGGCUUACCAAGGCUUUUUCGGGUAGCCGGCCUGAGAGGGCGACCGGCCACAUAGGGACUGAGAGAAGGCACAGACUGGUAAGGGAGGGAGAAGUGGGGAAGACUGAAGGAGGGGCGGAGGGCUGAUGAAGAAAGGCCGCGGGCGGGAUGACGGCGUUAGGGUUGUAGACCGAAUGUAGAAGGGGCGAAGCUUGUGGUGACGGUACCUGCAGAAGAAGCAACGGCUAACUACGUG